UGCACUUGUUUUCAACUCUCCCUGCUCGGUACAUGAAUUGAAGAGAAUUUAGUAAUGUUGAGGAGUCUCUCGGGACUCAGCUAUCUUCUCUAACUUGACUUCGGUCUGACAAUUGUAGUACUGCGGUCAGGCAACCUUCUGCUUACAACCUUCUCUCAUCUGAAGGGAGUAGUGGAAUUAAACACACAUUUCACCCUAUUUUUGCUAGUUGACUUUUAUAUGUUGUCUUAUUCGAUACUUCGGUAUUGCGUAAUUCACACGUUUAUUAUUUGAACGUUAAAUUUACAACUCUUAGCAAUGGAUAUCUUGGUUCUCGCAACGAUGAAGAACGCAGCGAAAUGCGAUACGUAAUGCGAAUUGCAGAAUUCAGUGAAUCAUCAAAUCUUUGAACGCAAAUUGCGCUCUUGGGUAGCCCUAGGAGCACGCCUCUCUCAGUAUCGGUUCAACCACCUCUCAGCAGCGUAUGCAAAUACGUGUUGGCUGGAAAAUGAGAGUGUAAUUUUCACAAUUACUCUCUUUAAGUACAUUGAGUGAGCACCACACAUUUACACGCUCUACUUCGGUAGAAGCCAGUUUCGAGCUGGUCGUGUAUAAGUGACGUGAAUACUGAGCCUUGUGCUCUUACAUUUACGUGUAACUUGUAUAUGACUAUUAAGGUUUUUAAUUGGUGUGUCUAUGGAGAUGCUCAUGUAACGCGGCUUUAGCUGCAAUCGGCUUUGAUUAAUUUUGAAGUCUGAAUUUUGAUCUGAGAUGAAGCGAGACAACCCCCUGAAUUUAAGCAUAUUAAUAA
rnacentral:rRNA from 1 species